AACGAACGCUGGCGGCGGGCUUAACACAUGCAAGUCGAGCGCAUCCUUCGGGGUGAGCGGCGGACGGGUGAGUAACGCGUGGGAACGUGCCCUCUUCUACGGAAUAGCCUCGGGAAACUGAGAGUAAUGCCGUAUACGCCCGCAAGGGGAAAGAUUUAUCGGAGGAGGAUCGGCCCGCGUUGGAUUAGGUAGUUGGUGGGGUAACGGCCUACCAAGCCGACGAUCCAUAGCUGGUUUGAGAGGAUGAUCAGCCACACUGGGACUGAGACACGGCCCAGACUCCUACGGGAGGCAGCAGUGGGGAAUCUUGGACAAUGGGGGCAACCCUGAUCCAGCCAUGCCGCGUGAGCGAUGAAGGCCUUAGGGUUGUAAAGAUCUUUCAGCUGGGAAGAUAAUGACGGUACCAGCAGAAGAAGCCCCGGCUAACUCCGUG
rnacentral:rRNA from 1 species